GUAACAAGGUCUCCGUUGGUGAACCAGCGGAGGGAUCAUUACCGAGUUAUACAACUCAUCAACCCUGUGAACAUACCUAAAACGUUGCUUCGGCGGGAACAGACGGCCCUGUAACAACGGGCCGCCCCCGCCAGAGGACCCCUAACUCUGUUUUUAUAAUGUUUUUCUGAGUAAACAAGCAAAUAAAUUAAAACUUUCAACAACGGAUCUCUUGGCUCUGGCAUCGAUGAAGAACGCAGCGAAAUGCGAUAAGUAAUGUGAAUUGCAGAAUUCAGUGAAUCAUCGAAUCUUUGAACGCACAUUGCGCCCGCCAGUAUUCUGGCGGGCAUGCCUGUUCGAGCGUCAUUACAACCCUCAGGCCCCCGGGCCUGGCGUUGGGGAUCGGCGGAAGCCCCCUGUGGGCACACGCCGUCCCUCAAAUACAGUGGCGGUCCCGCCGCAGCUUCCAUUGCGUAGUAGCUAACACCUCGCAACUGGAGAGCGGCGCGGCCAUGCCGUAAAACACCCAACUUCUGAAUGUUGACCUCGAAUCAGGUAGGAAUACCCGCUGAACUUAAGCAUAUCA
rnacentral:sRNA from 1 species